GAGUUCAAGAGUUCAGUUUGUAUCUUAGUAUCAGAGUUAGGUUACUUUACUAAUAGAAACAGGAGUGGUCUAGGUCGAGGGGAGUGGUUCACUCAUUGAAGUAACAUUAAGGGAAGGGGAGGCGUGUAAUAGAAAGAAAAA